CUAUAGGAAUGAUAAGAAGUCACCCACAUUUUUGAUAUUAAAAACAGUGGGUGGAAGAGUUGGGAAAGGCGACCUCUUGGUGCAUGUUGCGGUUGAUUGCCUUUUGCCAACUAAAUUGCUACCACGUUACAAUAUUGGGUGCAUUUUCGCCAUGUUAAGCUUGUGUAAGUUAGCUGAGUCCAUGUUUUGUGCAUGACAAGAUCAGUUGCUACCUCUGCUACUGGCUAGCUGUGGAGUUUUUGGUAUAUGGGUGGUUUUGUUUUUUUUAUUGCUUUCGCCCACUUUUUGGAUGAUCAAAGAGUAUGCUUUUCUGGGGUUCUGAAGCUACAGUGAGCUCGCGUUUGGGUCGAGAGUUGAUGCAGACAUGUUGGAUGUUGCCGUUGCUCAGCUCGGACCCACAUGAAGUUGUCGAUGGUUUUGUUAGCAAGGAACUAGGUGUGGUUGUGAUAUGAAGAUGCUUGAUCCUGAUUUAGUGCUCCUUCUCAGUGAGCAGAGUUUCUCUUGCGAGGUCUAGACUUCUCUCCGUUUUUUGACGUGCGGGGUGUUUUUCUUCACAUUAGGGCAUUGGUAUGAUGUUGCAUAUUCUUGUAGAGAAAUUCAUCUUCAAGGUCGCCUCCAGCCGUCUGGUUCGGAGUGCCCCAACCCCAGUCCUCUACAAGAGUGUCUAAAUAAGCUUCUCAUUUCCCAGAGAUCUGCAUGAUCACACUUUUUUCACGUAGUGUAGUCAUGUAUGUCAGUGCCAUUAGAUUUUAUUUAUUUGUUUAUUUUUCGUUUCUUUGGACUUGUAUUUAUGUUUCUAGUAACUGUCAAGCUUAGCAUCCAGCAGUUGGUAUGCAUCUCAUGUUGAUGUGUUAAGCUUUGGACGGCUUCAAGUGGUAAUCAACAAGUACCUUAAGAAUAAUCAGAUUAAAUAACAAUGGCGUGUUGCAAAAGCUGGGUGCAUCUAGCCGUCUGCUUCGCAAUGCCCCAACCCAGCUGACUCAGACAGUUGAUGCUCAUAGAACGGGUGACGUGCCAAUGUGAAGCAACCCAUCGAGCCCGUCCAAAUGGAAGGAAGAGCACGAAAGUGUUCGCCAGUUUUGCAAAAUAGCGUUCAUGAUCCGCUUCAACUCUUCGAAUCUAGAGCUCCAAUGCUCUAUGGAGUGAGUACAUGCAAUUGUGUUCUUGAACCCACCCCACUAUGCUUGAAUUUAAAGCAUUCAUUCAUUUUAAAACGUAAGUCUACGAAGAUCCAGGAUCUGCUUUCACUUAUUGUGAACAUACAUUGCAACUGCUGUAAUCAUCAACGAUGUGUAGCGACUUACAGUUUGUGUUUGCCUCACUAGCAGGAUGGGGAGCUGUUGUUGUUGUUGUUUUUUUUUUUAUUAUUUAUUUAUUUUUUAUGGUGGCUACAAGUUCUCCACUAGCGGUUCUGGCAACUGACCUAUCGCAGUAGAAUCCUGCUCAGAAGGAAUGGGAAGGGUUAAGUUAUUUGGGUUAACGCGCAAUAUGCUUAUGUCUUUUCCGAAGCAUUAACUUCGAAUUGGAUCAUGGUGAUGUGUUAGCAUGGAUAGGAUACUGGAAGUUUUUACUUUCAGAAUGUGCUUUUAUUGAUUUGAUAUCUGCUGAUUAAGAAGCGCAUUGCAGCUUUGUGUUCAAGUGC